rnacentral:tRNA from 1 species
GCGGUCGUGGCGGAACUGGUAGACGCGCAGCGUUGAGGUCGCUGUGGGGUAACUCCCGUGGAGGUUCGAGUCCUCUCGACCGCACCA